UCCCCAGGCUCAGAGCCUCUCCUUCAUUCCCAAAUUCACCUCUGAACAGCGCAGGAGCAUGGGGGGCUGUGGUCAGCUCACAGCAGUUCUUCUCCAUUGCUCCCUCCCGUCACAUUUUCUCUGUUCCAGCUCAGGGUCCUGCACAGGCUGCACUGGGGAUGCCUGUUCUGCCAUGGGCUCUCCGCUGGCUGCAGGCGACCCUCUCUGGUACCUGGAGCCCCUUCCUAUCUGGCCAGGGUGCUCACAGAGCUGUUUCACACACCUUUUCCCUCACAGCAUUUGCCCUUUCUCAGGCAUUUCCACAGAGGCACCACUGCCUUUGCGGAGGCCUGAGGAACCAUCCGGAACCAUCCGGAACCAGCUGUGGGGCACAGGGCGCCCCAGCCUCUCCUCACAGAGGUUGUGCCUGCAGCCCUCACCGCCAGUGCCUGUGUGGGGACUCCCAGCACUUAAUAACCAAGCAGUUUUGUACCUGGGAACACGAUGAGUAACUUAGGGAUUUGCUUUAAGGUUUUUAUAGAGAUAUUUUCAAAAUUUGGCAGUUGGAAGCCGAAAAGUUGGAGGUAACAAAGCUGAAUGAAGCUGUAAAUGCAAGGCUGCAGAAGAACCUGUCUACAAGGUACAUUUAUGGCUCUCGGGUACCAUAAGGUGGUUUCCCAUCCUGGCAAAUGCUCUGGAGCUGGAAGCUGAAGGCGUCCAAUGUGAGGAGAGACUUUGCUGCAGCAGCACCUGUACCACAGAGGCAGAAGGCCGUGCUGCAGCAGGUGUAGUCACAAGAUCAAAUAUGUCAAAGGUGUUAAGAAAUAAAGCUGAAAUGUGGAAAUGGAUUUUCUGAGUGUUGCCGUGCUGUUAUGGUUGCUGCAUCGCUGACUUGGCUGGUGGAGUUGAGAACAGACUUAAAAAUGCAGAGAAUCCACAAUAAACUGUGAAUGGAAGGCUCUGUAACGAGCACCUUGGAAGAUGAAAUCUGAAUUUGGAUUGAUCUGAAGGUGAAGAAUUAGGAUCAGGCAACCAGUGUAGGUAAGUGCAGAGUUAGAAAUGUUAGAGAAUAUUUGGCGUGAUAGUUGGUCAGCAAAAAUAGAUCUGGUGGCUAUACCAUGUAGUAAA